rnacentral:tRNA from 1 species
CUAGAUGACUCUCCCUCACCGAAGGAAGGGAUAUAACGGUUCAAGUUCCGGAGAAGAAAAUGUAAUGAUAAA